CCGAGGUCCUCAUCCAGGAUUGGCUGCCCCUUCAUAACCAGAAGAUAAUUAAAACGAGGGGGGGAGGGUUAAAAAAACUUUUUUAUCAGCCGGAGGUUAAUGCAAGUGUUUAACAGAUGCUUCACUAUUAAAAUAUUUUCCCCCCAAGUCGCAAAUAUUGAAGAAUCUUAAACCAGGGACACCAGCCCCAGCGAAGGAAGACCUUAAGCGAUUUCAAAGCGCAGGCACAUCGAUUCCCCGAAUUUGUUGUGUGGCCGGUAUCGGUGUUCCCCUGGUUUAACUAGCCUGUCUGAUAGUUCCUGAAUUAAGGCUAUUUCAGGCCACUUUGGAAAUUCACCCAGGAAGUUUCAGUUGAAGCAGAUUUCAGAUACCUCAUGGCUUCAGAGAUACAUUGUGAGAGGACCUUGACCUGCACCCACUGUUGCUGGCUUUGAAGAUUGAGUGAGGACCAUCAGCCAAGGCUUCUGGUGGCUUCUAGUAGCAUGGAACGACCCUCACUGACAGCUGGUUUAUAAAAAGGCAAGCAUCGUUUCGUGAAAAAUAUCUUGCACCGAUUGAAUACAGGUGGCUGCUUGUUUGGACUUUGAAGAUGUAAAGGCUUAGUAUAGAUGUCUGAAAAAGGCAAACCACUUCAAUAGAACGUGGCUGGCAGCCAUGUGGUCAUAUAUGAAUCCAACAAUUAAUUUAGCAAAGAAAACUGCUUGUAACAAGUUUUGAAUUUGCCAUACCAGGUAGUACUUUGAUGAUAAAUGAGGAGACGAUUGCCAAGAAAGUGACAGUAACAUUAAUAAAAAGAUCGUCUCCUCCCUGGAUGGUUCCUGCAGCUCUGACGUUUGUAGAAUCAAAGCUUUUGCCACCCAGUCGUCACUUCCCACACUCAGGGAGCACAGAUGGUGCGCGGUUAAGCCCCUGUCCUUUUACAGUUCCUUGGCAUCAGGAGUGGAUAAAAGGGAAAGCAAAACUGUCAGGAUACUGUGUGAAUUUUGCUUACAUUUUACUGAAAGAUAACUGCUUAACCUCUGUCUAGGGAAAUUAAAUAUUCCAUAGCCUUGCAUAGACAUGUGAGGUGCAUAUUUAUAGUUACAUGAACACUAUGAUGAAUAUUUCCUCUGGAGAAAUCUGCAACAGUCUGUUUAUAUUUAAUUUUAUCAGCUAUUUUCGGUAAGGUUACUACUUACACAGUUAGAUAUUUAUUGCAUGUAUCAUAAAAAUUUUGGUUGAAUUUAUGAACUGAAACGUGUGGUCAGGUUCCAAAAUUAUACUACAAUUCAAAUUAAUAGGCUAUUAUAGAUAUGAUGAUGGUUGCAGAAUUAUCCACAAUGCACCAACAGGUCUGACUUCUGGAAGGAGAUAUGAACAUGUCCUUGAAAUAUUUUACAAGUAGGGAUAAGAGGGAAUCCUAGCCCUCCCCUUCAUUAUAUGAGAAUGGAAUUAGCAAAUAAAGGUUUUUUACCACUAAAAUGUAUAUAUAAUGCUAUUACAUAUUUCCAAGUAUGAAGCAUGACAGCCAACGGCAACCAGUAAAGUUGUACAAACAUGAGGUCAGAGGAAAAAGAUCAGAAAUGUGUCCUAGCGUUGUUUCCUUUUGGUCCAGCUUUUACAUGCACACGAUUAAUGCACAGGGGUCAAGUGCUAGAUAGGGUUAAAUAAUGAGACUACCAUUCUUUCAAAGCUGUUCUCCAUGAAUCUCUAGACUUUCAAACAGUUUGGCCUGGUGUGACUCUUUCAAUAUGCAGAAGUCAUGACAUGACCCAGGAAGUUUACCAAAACGUUUGUACUGUUUUAUUUAGCCUGGUAUCCAGUCUUCCAGGGCAUUUACAAAACAGUAUGAAUUCCUUAGAGGAUACCCAAAAGGAACUAUUUACAUCAAGAGAGAGAAGCUUAGGAAAAUUUUAGAAAAGGAUUAAAAUAUGCAGUAAACAUUAAUUUCUCUGCAAAAACCUGUUUUUUACACUAAUUAUUUCAUCUAACUUUGAAUUUGAAUUCAGACUUGGGGGCAAAUAGUCAGAUUUUAUACUUCAAAACAUAAUCACUUUUUAUGGCUACAGGAGAAUUAUUGUAACGGGAAGAAUUUCUGAUAUGGAAGAAAAUCACAUGGUAUUGUAAUAGUCUUAUUCUGAUUUAACAGAGAUACCCAAAUUUAGACUCUGUUCUUGACUUGUACUUGGUUCAAACUCUUUAAUUCUUUUAUGACUAUCUUCAUGUAUAAAAUGGAAAAAGCAAUAAUUUCAACUUGU